rnacentral:lncRNA from 1 species
CAGUAUUUCUGUUUUAAAUCCAGCAAAGGAGCUUACUCUACAGGAACAGUCUUGAGAUGAUCUUUGUUGUUACCUGUGAGCAGUGACGGACAACAGCUGUGUUCGUGGACCAAGCGAUCUUAUCUGUCAGGUGUUUGGACCUCCGGAAAAGUUGCCCAACCGAGCUUUUGGUGUUUGGGCAGUCCUUCCCCUAUGAUGGAAAAUGGCAUAAAGGCUGAGUCAGCAUUAGCGUUUCAAUGCGAUUGAAGCCUGGAUUGAAGUUUGGAAAAAAUUUUCA